rnacentral:misc_RNA from 1 species
UCAGCAGAGAUUGAUACAGAAGGUCUAAUUGCAAAGGACAAGUUCUAUGUCAGUUACGGUGGAGCAGCAUUAACUCGUUCUAUGUCUCAGGUGCUUGUAAACUGCCUGCGCUAUUACCUUAGGAGGCCUGAAACAGAUGAUGAAAGUUACUAGCCAGCGCCCAUCCUUGUAUGUACACUAUAUGUAUAAACCUUGUUUGCCAAUCAAUGCAAGGGCUUGAGUCAUCUCAGUUGUCAUGUAACAUAUUAUGUCUGAGUCGUAAUUUAUGUUAUGCAUUUGUCACUCUCCAUUCUCGUCAUGAAUAAACUAAACAAACUGACAGGACUACUAAUGUCAUGAAAAUGUGCACAAUUUCUUCCUAUUGUCCUUCUAUCGAAAGUAAAACUAGCGGGAUCAGAAGACAUGAAAUAGUUCAGCAUAUAUUAUUAUAUGUGGG